rnacentral:rRNA from 1 species
AUUGAACGCUGGCGGCAGGCCUAACACAUGCAAGUCGAGCGGAUGAAGAGAGCUUGCUCUCUGAUUUAGCGGCGGACGGGUGAGUAAUGCCUAGGAAUCUGCCUGGUAGUGGGGGAUAACGUUCCGAAAGGAACGCUAAUACCGCAUACGUCCUACGGGAGAAAGCAGGGGACCUUCGGGCCUUGCGCUAUCAGAUGAGCCUAGGUCGGAUUAGCUAGUUGGUGAGGUAAUGGCUCACCAAGGCUACGAUCCGUAACUGGUCUGAGAGGAUGAUCAGUCACACUGGAACGGAGACACGGUCCAGACUCCUACGGGAGGCAGCAGUGGGGAAUAUUGGACAAUGGGCGAAAGCCUGAUCCAGCCAUGCCGCGUGUGUGUAGAAGGUCUUCGGAUUGUAAAGCACUUUAAGUUGGGAGGAAGGGCAGUAAGCUAAUACCUUGCUGUUUUGACGUUACCGACAGAAUAAGCACCGGCUAACUUCGUGCCAGCCGCCGCCGUAAAAC